rnacentral:rRNA from 1 species
GAUGAACGCUGGCGGCGUGCCUAAUACAUGCAAGUCGAGCGAACGGACGAGAAGCUUGCUUCUUUGAUGUUAGCGGCGGACGGGUGUGUCACACGUGGAUACUCUACUUAUAUGACUGGGAUCAUUUCGGGACACCGGAGAUAAUACGGGAUAAUAUUUUGCACCGCAUGGUUCAUAAGUGAAAGUCGGCCUUGCUGUCACUAAUCGAUGGUUCCCAGCUGCUUUAGCUAGUUGGUAAGGUAAAGGCUUUUGAAGGCUACGAUGCCUAUCCGACCUGAGAGGGUGGUCGGCCGCACUGGAACGUGGACACGAUCCAGGCGCCUACGAUAGGCAGCAGUAGGGAAUCGGCCGCAGUGGUCGGAAGCCUGACGGAGCAAGGCCGCGUGAGUGAUGAAGGUCUUCGGAGCGUAAAACUCGGUUAUGAGGUAAGAACAGAUGUGGAAGUAACUGUGCACAUCUUGACGGUACCUAAUCAGAAAGCCACGGCUAACUACGUG